AUUGAACGCUGGCGGCAGGCCUUACACAUGCAAGUCGAACGAGUGGCGGACGGGUGAGUAAUAUCUGGGAAACUGCCCGAUGGCGGGGGAUAACUACUGGAAACGGUAGCUAAUACCGCAUACUAUUAGAUCUGCCCAUAUGGGAUUAGCUUGUUGGUGGGGUAACGGCUCACCAAGGCGACGAUCCCUAGCUGGUUUGAGAGGAUGACCAGCCACACUGGAACGGAGACACGGUCCAGACUCCUACGGGAGGCAGCAGUGGGGAAUAUUGCACAAUGGGCGCAAGCCUGAUGCAGCCAUGCCGCGUGUAUGAAGAAGGCCUUCGGGUUGUAAAGUACUUUCGGCGGGGAGGCGUUACCCGCAGAAGAAGCACCGGCUAACUCCGUGCCAGCAGCCGCGGUAAUAC
rnacentral:rRNA from 1 species